UUUUUUUUUUUUCCGUGCUGAGAUUUCGUCACACACCAGACCACAAGGGCUGAUGAGAAUUCCAAG
rnacentral:pre_miRNA from 1 species